GACGAACGCUGGCGGCGUGCCUAACACAUGCAAGUCGAACGGAACUGCUUCGAAGGAUUUCUUCGGAAUGACAUUGAUUCAGUUUAGUGGCGGACGGGUGAGUAACGCGUGAGUAACCUGCCUUCAAGAGGGGGAUAACAUUCUGAAAAGAAUGCUAAUACCGCAUGACAUAUGAUUGUCGCAUGGCAGAUAUAUCAAAGAUUUAUCGCUUGAAGAUGGACUCGCGUCCGAUUAGUUAGUUGGUGAGGUAACGGCCCACCAAGACCGCGAUCGGUAGCCGGACUGAGAGGUUGAACGGCCACAUUGGGACUGAGACACGGCCCAGACUCCUACGGGAGGCAGCAGUGGGGAAUAUUGCACAAUGGGGGAAACCCUGAUGCAGCAACGCCGCGUGAGUGAUGACGGUCUUCGGAUUGUAAAGCUCUGUCUUUUAGGGACGAUAAUGACGGUACCUAAGGAGGAAGCACGGCUAACUACGUGCCAG
rnacentral:rRNA from 1 species